UUCAACGGCCGCGGUAUCCUAACCGUGCAAAGGUAGCAUAAUCACUUGCCUAUUAAUUGUAGGCUAGAAUGAACGGGUAAACGAAAUAAAAACUGUCUCUAUCAAUAAUCUAAAAAUUAAUUUCUACAUGAAGAAGUGUAGAUACUAUCGAAGGACAAGAAGACCCUAUAGAGCUUUAUUAUAAGGCAAAUGUAUAUUGUCCUAAAAUUCGGUUGGGGCGACCUAGGGAAAUUUAAUAUCACCCUAAUAAAUAAAGAUAAAUAUAUCUAAUA
rnacentral:rRNA from 1 species